rnacentral:misc_RNA from 1 species
AAGUCGUAACAAGGUUUCCGUAGGUGAACCUGCGGAAGGAUCAUUAACACGUAUCCAACCCUGUGAACUUUCAACCGCUCUUGUAGCCCAGGCGGAACCGGUAAAUCAAUGGCGGAAGUUUUGAUUCGGGACCUCUGUCCAAAAGGUAUAUAGCCCUGUGACAUGUCUGCCCCCCGGUGAUCGACCUCUGGCAACCGAGAUGCGUUAUCCUUACUCAGUGGAUCCUUCUGCACUGCUUAGGGAAACCAUGGCACUGCUCCUAGCUCGAUUGUAACUUGAUGCCCCUUCAUUCACACCUUGCCUAAAUCUGCCCCGCGGAAACGCCGGGCACUAAAACUUGAACAACUGUUAACAAUGGAUAUCUUGGUUCUC